AUAGGUGCCAAUGCUACACUUCCUUAGCUAGGAGCUAGCAAUGCUACGUGGAAUUGCAUGUCGAAAAUAUUUAAAAAGUCAACCUGCCAUCUCUCCUGCCCUGCUCGUCCAAGUUCCCACUCUAGUUCCAGUACUGGCAGGCUUCACCACUAUAUCCCAGCAGGGUCCUGCUUGGCAUGUUCUCCCAGGUAUCUUCUGAGAGGUUGUUCUCUCUCCACUUCUCAUUCAAGUCUGAAGAUGCUUACAGUCACCUGCAGUACUUCUAAAUCAGAGUUUUGAGAUGGAAGAGGUCACAGCUCCAAUGAUCUCAGCCGAAGAAGAUGAGGAAGAAGACCAGCACAAGUGCUCUCCAAGGAAUGUCUUCCUGCCCGGUGUCCUGGACAACUGCCUGUCUUUAGAAUUAACAAAUGCUCUGACUUGCAGAGUCUCUCUCAAAUCAGCUUUUGCUGGUAUCAGGAUUUCUCUGGAGGACUCAACAAAGUCCUCUCCAUGCCUGAGAUUCCUACAAUGAUUGAAAUUCCAUUGUUUCUUCCCCGUGGAAUAACCAUAAGCUUCCUGAGGGAGUGCACCUCAGAGAGGCCUCGCCUGGGACUUGAAAGUAAGGAGAAAACAGCACAAGAAUUUUCUGGGGAAUAAAGAUGUCCUCUGAAGUUCUAAGCCAA
rnacentral:lncRNA from 1 species